rnacentral:rRNA from 1 species
AGCCUAACGCGAAGAGGCAAGAUAACCAAGGUUGUGGCCGUGAUUGGGGUG